AUAUAACAUUCUUUGAUUGAUUUCUUUUGAUUUAGGGUUUCAUUUGUUGAUUAUUUUUUUCUGAUUUUACUCAGUUCGGCGACGAAUCGGUUGAUUACUGCAAAGGAUCAUGCUGCGGUCCAACCUAACAUUGGGUACAUAGAUGAGAACGAGAUUUACAUUGGCUAGUUCUCCACUUUUGCGCUCUCUGUUUUCAUUAGAGCUCAGAUCGGAUAUCAAACUGGAAGAAUGUUGUAGUUGCUUAUGAGCUAGUUUGGGCUAUUAGAACUGGCAAGGUCGCAACCCCGGCUCAGGCCCAGGAAGAUGAAGGUUGUGAGGUGAUGGAUGGUGAAGGGAAGAAUAUAUUGGAUAGAAUCAGUUGGAAGGAGACAAAGCAUUGGGAAAGACUCGAUGAAGGAAGAACUCAUCUUGAUAAUUAAUGGGCUCAUCAUGAUUUUUAUCAUUCAAAGUUUAAUUAUUCAUGGUUUAUUGCUUUAUUGUCAUAGGUUUUUGAAUAGGUUUUUAUUUGUUAGAUUUGCAUUUCACUUAAGAGUUGUAGAAUGUGGAGAAGUUGUGAACCUUGUAGAUGGUCUAAACUCAAAGUUUUAUAGUUGAUUAUUACUUCAUUGAAUUUAUCGACAAAGCUUGUAUCAAACACAUAUUAUUUUUUAAUUGAUUAAGUUAAUUUCUUAUUUA